GAUGAACGCUGGCGGCGUGCUUAAUACAUGCAAGUCGAGCGAACAGACGAGGAGCUUGCUCCUCUGACGUUAGCGGCAGACGGGUGUGUAACACGUGGAUAACCUACUUAUCAGACUGGGAUAACUUCGGGAAACCGGAGCUAAUACCGGAUAAUAUACUGAACCGCAUGGUUCAAUAGUGAAAUACGGCUUUUCUGUCACUUAUAGAUGGAUCCGGGCCGCAUUAGCUAGUUGUUAAGGUAACGGCCUAGCAAGGCGACGAUGCGUAGCAGACCUCAGAGGGGGGUAGCCGACCUGGGAGCUGAGACACAGUCAAGAGUACUACGAUAGGGAGCAGAAGGGAAUGGGCCGCAGUAGGCGAAAGCAUGGCAGAGCGGGGCGGCGUGAGUUAUAAAGAUCUUGGGAUCGGAAAACUCUGUUAUUAGGGAUGAACAACUGUGUAAGGAACUAUGCACGUAUUGACGGUACCGAAUAAGAAAGCCACGGCUAACUACGUG
rnacentral:rRNA from 1 species